rnacentral:rRNA from 1 species
GACGAACGCUGGCGGCGUGCUUAACACAUGCAAGUCGAACGGAAAGGCCCUGCUUGCAAGGUGCUCGAGUGGCGAACGGGUGAGUAACACGUGGGUGAUCUGCCCCUUACUUUGGGAUAAGCCUGGGAAACUGGGUCUAAUACUGGAUAGGACCAUGCUGUAGGUGGUGUGGUGGAAAGAUUAGUUUCGGUAAGGGAUGAGCUCGCGGCCUAUCAGCUUGUUGGUGGGGUAAUGGCCUACCAAGGCGUCGACGGGUAGCCGGCCUGAGAGGGUGGACGGCCACAUUGGGACUGCGAUACGGCGCAGACUCCUACGGGCGGCAGCAGUGGGGAAUAUUGCACAAUGGGCGCAAGCCUGAUGCAGCGACGCCGCGUGGGGGAUGACGGCCUUCGGGUUGUAAACUCCUUUCAGCCAUGACGAAGCCCUUGUGGUGACGGUAGUGGUAGAAGAAGCACCGGCUAACUACGUG